AGAAGCUGCGAAGAUGGCGGAGUAAGGCGUGCCGCUGCAAACUGGCCUCUGGGCCGGGGGCGAGCAGCCCCCGGGAGGCCGAGUGCAUCUGUUGGACCGUGCGAGGAGAAGAAAAAAAAUAUCGGCCAGAGGAGAGGAACUAACCGAACAUUCUUCCUCCCUACCUUAUAGAGGGGAGUGGUCAUCUACACUAAAGCAAAGUGUUAGGCGCGUCCGUGCGAAGAGACCACCAAACAGGCUUUGUGUUCCUUAUCACAGGAAGAAAAUUUUCCUUGACCUUUAGGUGCUUUUAUAUUCAUCUCAAAAACAAAAUUCUGAACUCAGGACUUGGCAAGAGGUGCAAGCGAAGAUGCAGUGCUACCUUAUUUUUCAUUUUUAUUUUUUGGAGACAGAGUCUCACUCUGUUGCCCAAGCUGAGUGCAGUGGUGCAAUCAUGGCUCACUGCAACCUCAACCUCCAGGGCUCAAGCGAUCCUCCUGCUUCAGCCUCCUCCAAAGUAGCUGGGACCACAAGAGGGCACCACCACGCCCUGCUAAUUUUUUAUUUUUUGUAGAGUGGGGUCUUGAUAUGUUGCCCAGGCUGGUCUCCAAUUCCUGGGCUCAAGGGAUCCCCCUGCCUCAGCCUCCCCAAAGUGCUGGGAUUACAGGUGUGAGCUGCUGCACCUGGCUCAGUGCUACUUUAAAACACAAAUGUGGCCGGGCCCAGUGGCUCACGCCUGUAAUCCCAAUACUUUGGGAGGCUGAGGCGAGUGGAUCACUUGAGGUGAGGAGUUUGAACCCAGCCUGGCCAACAUGGUGAAACCCCGUUUCUACUAAAAAUAC
rnacentral:lncRNA from 10 species